UACGAAGGGGGCUAGCGUUGUUCGGAAUUACUGGGCGUAAAGCGUAUGCAGGCGGAUCGUUAAGUCGGGGGUGAAAUCCCGAGGCUCAACCUCGGAACUGCCUUCGAUACUGGCGAUCUCGAGUUCGGGAGAGGUGGGUGGAACUGCGAGUGUAGAGGUGAAAUUCGUAGAUAUUCGCAAGAACACCAGUGGCGAAGGCGGCUCACUGGCCCGAUACUGACGCUGAGGUGCGAAAGCGUGGGGAGCAAACAGG
rnacentral:rRNA from 1 species